rnacentral:rRNA from 1 species
CAGCAGUAGCCACGGGAAUACGGAGGAUCCAAGCGUUAUCCGGAAUCAUUGGGUUUAAAGGGUCCGUAGGCGGUCUUGUAAGUCAGUGGUGAAAGCCCAUCGCUCAACGGUGGAACGGCCAUUGAUACUGCAGGACUUGAAUUAUUGGGAAGUAACUAGAAUAUGUAGUGUAGCGGUGAAAUGCUUAGAGAUUACAUGGAAUACCAAUUGCGAAGGCAGGUUACUACCAAUUGAUUGACGCUGAUGGACGAAAGCGUGGGUAGCGAACAGGAUUAGAUACCCCCGUAGUCCCUGUCUCUUAUAC